CCCCACUAUGCUUCGCCCUAAACAUUGAUAGCUUUACACAAUCGCUAUCCGCCUGGAAACUACGAGCAAUAGCUUAAAACCCAAAGGACUUGGCGGUGCUUUAGACCCACCUAGAGGAGCCUGUUCUAUAACCGAUAACCCCCGUUCAACCUCACCUUUCCUAGUCAUUCCCGCCUAUAUACCGCCGUCGCCAGCUUACCCUGUGAAGGCCCUUCUAGUAAGCUUAAUUGGCAUAGCCCAAAACGUCAGGUCGAGGUGUAGCGUAUGGAGAGGGAAGAAAUGGGCUACAUUCCCUAUUACAGUGAAUCACGGAUAAUAAUACUGAAACGUGUAUCUAGAAGGAGGAUUUAGCAGUAAGCAGAAAGCAGAGCGUUCCGCUGAAACCGGCCCUGAAGCGCGCACACACCGCC
rnacentral:rRNA from 1 species